rnacentral:rRNA from 1 species
AGAGUUUGAUCCUGGCUCAGGAUGAACGCUGACAGAAUGCUUAACACAUGCAAGUCUAUUCAAGUUACCUUCGGGUAAUGAGGAUGGCGGACGGGUGAGUAACGCGUAAGGAACUUGCCUUUUGGUCUGGGACAACUGUUGGAAACGACAGCUAAUACCGGAUAUUAUGAGACUUUCGCAUGAGAGACUCAUGAAAGCUAUAUGCGCCAAGAGAGAGCCUUGCGUUCCAUUAGCUAGUUGGUGGGGUAACGGCCCACCAAGGCGACGAUGGAUAGCCGGCCUGAGAGGGUGAACGGCCACAAGGGGACUGAGACACGGCCCUUACUCCUACGGGAGGCAGCAGUGGGGAAUAUUGGACAAUGGACCAAAAGUCUGAUCCAGCAAUUCUGUGUGCACGAUGAAGUUUUUCGGAAUGUAAAGUGCUUUCAGUUGGGACGAAGUAAGUGACGGUACCAACAGAAGAAGCGACGGCUAAAUACGUGCCAGCAGCCGCGGUAAUACGAGUGCGU